rnacentral:misc_RNA from 1 species
AUCAAGAAAAAGGACGAGAUUGAGAGAGUUGCAAAGGCUAAUCGUUGAGGUUAUAUUUCAAGGUUUGUUUUAUGUGGCAUAGCAAGAGUUUUAUGUUAUUUUUCUUAUGUCUGGCUACAUUCUUCUAAUGAACAUUAUAGUCGAAGGUUUUGUUUUAGUUUCCUUGUUGCAACAUAUCUACUUGUUUUAGGCUUUUUCAAGUUUUGAUAUCAUUAUGUUUUCCAUCAGAACAAGCUAAUGCAUGAUGUUGUUUCUUAAAGU